UACAGAGGUGGCAAGCGUUGUUCGGAUUUAUUGGGCGUAAAGAGCGCGUAGGCGGUCCUUUAAGUCGGUGGUGAAAUCCCGGGGCCUAACCCCGGAAUUGCCCUCGAUACUGGAGGACUUGAGUGCGGGAGAGGAUAGUGGAAUUCCCAGUGUAGAGGUGAAAUUCGUAGAUAUUGGGAAGAACACCAGUGGCGAAGGCAGCUAUCUGGACCGCAACUGACGCUGAGGCGCGAAAGCGUGGGGAG
rnacentral:rRNA from 1 species